AUUAAACGCUGGCGGCAUGCCUUACACAUGCAAGUCGAACGGCAGCACGGGGGCGAACCCUGGUGGCGAGUGGCGAACGGGUGAGUAAAGCAUCGGAACGUGCCCUGGAGUGGGGGAUAACGUAGCGAAAGGUUACGCUAAUACCGCAUAUUCUGUGAGCAGGAAAGCAGGGGAUCGCAAGACCUUGCGCUCUGGGAGCGGCCGAUGUCGGAUUAGCUAGUUGGUGGGGUAAAGGCCUACCAAGGCGACGAUCCGUAGCGGGUCUGAGAGGAUGAUCCGCCACACUGGGACUGAGACACGGCCCAGACUCCUACGGGAGGCAGCAGUGGGGAAUUUUGGACAAUGGGCGAAAGCCUGAUCCAGCCAUGCCGCGUGAGUGAAGAAGGCCUUCGGGUU
rnacentral:rRNA from 1 species